GUAGUUUUCAUUAUAAAACUGAUGUACAUAUAUGAGAUCUUGGUUUUUGUACGCCAUGGAAUGGGACAACAAUAAAACUAUAUUCAAAUUAACAUAUUAUUCCAUCACAUAUAUUCUGUUUGAUAAUGCAUUUUGCAUACCUUUAUAUAUACAAGUUUUAAAGGGCACUGCUACAGCAUAUAUAAAAAAUUCUAAUAUGAUUUUUUUGUUCAAUCAUUAAUGAGAGUGAAAUAGGGAAAUAAUUAUUCGCUUUUAGCAACUAAAAAGGUUUAAUGUUGUCAAAUUAGACUAAUAAAAUAUGAUAAUGACAUAUUCACUUGCAAGUGAAUAAUUCGACCUCAUUAAUUCCGUAUUUAUGUGAACUCCAAUUUAACCCCGUAAAAAGAGAUAGAAUAAUGCAUGCAUUGUUCGUGUAUGGUUAGUUAAAAAGAAAAUAAUGUCAAAAUGAAGAUGAAACAAAGGUAAAUAAUUUGAAUGACUGAUUCGAUCCACUAAAAAUCAUUCUUUU
rnacentral:lncRNA from 1 species